UUGGGGAACAUUCCACAUACCGUAACCACUACUGUGGGCUGUAGUGGUUAUGGUACCAUGAGUGUUCUACUA